rnacentral:misc_RNA from 1 species
GAUGAAGAACGUAGCGAAAUGCGAUAAGUAAUGUGAAUUGCAGAAUUCAGUGAAUCUUCGAAUCUUUGAACGCACAUUGCGCCCCCUGGUAUUCCGGGGGGCAUGCCUGUUCGAGCGUCAUUUCACCACUCAAGCCUCGCUUGGUAUUGGGCAACGCGGUCCGCCGCGUGCCUCAAAUCGACCGGCUGGGUCUUCUGUCCCCUAAGCGUUGUGGAAACUUUCGCUAAAGGGUGUUCGGGAGGCUACGCCGUAAAACAACCCCAUUUCUAAGGUUGACCUCGGAUCAGGUAGGGAUACCCGCUGAACUUAAGCAUAUCAAUAAGCGGAGGA